rnacentral:rRNA from 1 species
AAAUUUGAAAUCUGGCGCAAGCCCGAGUUGUAAUUUGUAGAGGAUGCUUCUGGGUAGCGACCGGUCUAAGUUCCUUGGAACAGGACGUCAUAGAGGGUGAGAAUCCCGUAUGUGACCGGCCCGCACCCUUUACGUAGCUCCUUCGACGAGUCGAGUUGUUUGGGAAUGCAGCUCUAAAUGGGAGGUAAAUUUCUUCUAAAGCUAAAUACCGGCCAGAGACCGAUAGCGCACAAGUAGAGUGAUCGAAAGAUGAAAAGUACUUUGGAAAGAGAGUUAAAAAGCACGUGAAAUUGUUGAAAGGGAAGCGCCUGCAAUCAGACUUCGCGGCAGUGUUCCGCCGGUCUUCUGACCGGUUUAUUCUCUGUCGCGAGGCCAUCAUCGUCUCGGCCCGCUGGAUAAGACCUUGGGAAUGUAGCUCACCUUCGGGGGAGUGUUAUAGCUCAUGGUGAUGCAGCGAGGCUGGGGCGAGGUCCGCGCUUCGGCAAGGAUGAUGGCGUAAUGGUUGUCGGCGGCCCGUCUUGAAACACGGACCAAGGAGUCUAACAUCUAUGCGAGUGUUCGGGUGUCAAACCCCUACGCGUAAUGAAAGUGAACGGAGGUGGGAACCGCAAGGUGCACCAUCGACCGAUCCUGAUGUCCUCGGAUGGAUUUGAGUAAGAGCAUAGCUGUUGGGACCCGAAAGAUGGUGAACUAUGCCUGAAUAGGGUGAAGCCAGAGGAAACUCUGG